rnacentral:tRNA from 1 species
GGUGUUGUGGUUUAGUGGUAAAGCACUUGCCUUGCACGCAUGAAACACUGGGUUCGACCCUCAGCACCA